GGGGGGGGGGGGGGGGGGGGGGGGGGGGGGGGGGGGGGGGGGGGGGGGGGGGGGGGGGGGGGGGGCGGGGGGGGCGGACGGGGGAGGGACGCGGGAGUAACCUGCGCUGGACGGUGGGGUAGGUUCGGGGGACUGGGGCUGAUACCGGAUAGGAGCGACUGCUGCGUGGUGGGGGGGGGAAAGUUUCGGCGGUUGGGGAUGGACUCGCGGCUUAUCAGCUUGUUGGUGGGGUAGUGGCUUACCAAGGCUUUGACGGGUAGCCGGCCUGAGAGGGUGACCGGCCACAUUGGGACUGAGAUACGGCCCAGACUCCUACGGGAGGCAGCAGUGGGGAAUAUUGCACAAUGGGCGGAAGCCUGAUGCAGCAACGCCGCGUGCGGGAUGACGGCCUUCGGGUUGUAAACCGCUUUCGCCUGUGACGAAGCGUGAGUGACGGUAAUGGGUAAAGAAGCACCGGCUAACUACGUG
rnacentral:rRNA from 1 species